UCCGAAGGGGGCUAUCGUUGUUCGGAAUUACUGGGCGUAAAGCGCGUGUAGGCGGGCCGUUAAGUCGGGGGUGAAAGCCCAGAGCUCAACUCUGGAAUUGCCUUCGAUACCGGCGGCCUGGAGCAUGAUAGAGGCGAGUGGAAUUGCGAGUGUAGAGGUGAAAUUCGUAGAUAUUCGCAGGAAAACCAGUGGCGAAGGCGACUCGCUGGAUCAUUGCUGACGCUGAGACGCGAAAGCGUGGGGAGCAAACAGG
rnacentral:rRNA from 1 species